CACGUAGGGUGCGAGCGUUGUCCGGAAUUAUUGGGCGUAAAGAGCUCGUAGGCGGUGUGUCGCGUCGGCCGUGAAAACCUGCAGCUUAACUGUGGGCUUGCGGUCGAUACGGGCAUCACUGGAGUUCGGCAGGGGAGACUGGAAUUCCUGGUGUAGCGGUGAAAUGCGCAGAUAUCAGGAGGAACACCAGCGGCGAAGGCGGUGCUCUGGGCCGGAACUGACACUGAGGAGCGAAAGCGUGGGUAGCAAACAGG
rnacentral:rRNA from 1 species